CUCACAUCUACGAGUGAACUAAACCAGCCGCACCCCACCCCCAGCACCAAAGCAAACCCCUUUCCUUUGCUCAGACCUUGGGACAGCCUGUCUUCAGAAAGAACGCUCCAUGUUUUCAUUACCCACGUGGUUUCUCCGGACGCUUGGAGGUCAGCGGCUACACCUGCCCCUCUCCCCAGAGGUCUACAGGCCAAAGGACCCUCGGCUCCUAUAACAAGAUCCAGUCCGGCACAGACAGAUCUGCCACUGUCUUCACUGCUCACAGGAUUCUAGUUGUUUUUGACCUGAGUCACAGCCAAGGAUGAAUUAGUCAAAAGAAAUCAAGGCUGCUUUGAGAACCUGGAGAAAAGACUCGACCUCUCAAAACCUGAGCUUCUUCAUGUGAAAAUGGAGAACCCAAUACCUACUUUGGGUUUAGAAGGUAGCAUAUACUCAGAGAGGCUGGCAAAGCUAUAUGCUCAGUGGGAGGGGGAGGAAGAGACCUAAAGCAGGAUGAGUGUCUGUCCCCCCUCUCUACUUCCCUUCCCUUCCCUGGCAGGUCCCAGGCUCCCUUGUCCCCACUUCUCUGGGAGACAGGAGGGCAGGGGUGACCCUCCGGCACUGCCGGAAAGCAUCUUGGCGUGGCAGGAAGAAAAUGAUCUUUGGGGCGUCUGGGGGGCUCAUCAAUUAAGCAUUCAACUCUUGAUUUCGGCUCAGGGCAUGACCUCACAGUUUGUGAGUGCCAGUCCCCCAGAUAGCAGGCAGCCUCCUUGGGAUUCUCUCUCUGCCCCUCUGCCCCUCCC